AUUUCUCAUAUUUUUGCAAAUUUCAUUGAAAGUUUCCGCUACCCAAGUCAUCUUCUUACUAAAAUCUUGUAAAAAAAAACACUCAAUUUUAAAAUAGUUUCAUCAUCUUCUGCACAAUUAGAGUCGUGGGUUUUCAUGAGCUAAAGGGAAAAGCUUAAGUUAGAGUGAGAAAGUAGAGAACAAGAAAAAAGAGUUGACUAGUGGGUGUUGGAGCUUUGACCAAGAAAACGAGAGCCUUGGAUUAGAAAAGUAAAGGAUUUUGGUUUUUUCUUAUUCAUAAAGAGAUUCAAUUGUGGAUUAGUUGAAGCCUUAUCCAUUUCGGAAGUCUCUAUCACCAUUACAAGGUUCAAGAGUAUGUAUUAAGAUUGGUUAUUGUCUCCUAUGAGUAUGAAAUGUACAUAGGUUGAGUUCUUAUAACACCCUACACCCGACCUAGAAGUUAUGACUCGAGUGUGAAGAUUUAGAAAAUGAAUAAUCAGAAAAUAAUAAUUUUUAGC